CACCACAAAACUCACGAAGGACCAUCCAACCCAACCAACUAUACCGGUGCAUGACGUUUUAGCGCAGGCCAUUCCCUCGUUCUAGUUUCGUCUAACUUCUAAUCGGAUUUAACACAGAAGAUCGAUGAACAACUGUCCUUAAUUACCGAUUACCACAUUCUUACGAAUAAAUUUUGAUAGAAUUUUCUUUUAUACCGAAUUUAUCGAUCGCUUAUAUCAAGAAAUUUUCUAAUAAAUAUUAUAUCCUAACGAACAAAUGACUAAUUUCAUUUAAUCAAACAAUUGACAUACGAUUUAUCUAUGACGAUAUACAUGAACGUGUUGAAAAGUUUUGAGCCUAACAUAAAAACAAUUUUUGAUUUAUUCAUUUUUAAUUUGUCGUCAUAGUUUCAGAACUUUUUAAUUCACCCUUGCCUUGUACGUGUACAAACAAUUAUAACAAUGAACUAAUUCAAAGAAAAAAAGGGAGAAACAAUUUAUAUUUUAUAAUUAUAAUUAAUUGUAAUAUUAAAUAACUAGAGUGGUGUACAAGAGCGAGUAUCAAAAUAAAUUGUAUUAUACAUUUUCGAUUUAGUUUUUCACGUAGAAUCAUCAUCCCCUGUGUUCCAUCAGUUACAGUAGACCCUGUAUAUUUAAUUACUUUUACUUUCCAUACAACCCCAAUGAUAAAUACUGAAUUUAUUUAUUCUAUUAAAUACAAAAUGUUAACUAUUUUCUAUACUUUUAUUUAUUCCAUCCUUCGGGAUUUAUUUUAUAAUCGAUUAUCGGCAUUUAUUGCACUGAGACUUGACACGUCAGUAGCUAUACUGAUUUUUGAACGAGGAAUAUUAAUUAUUCCCGUAUUUAAUGUAUUUUCAUUGUCAUCGAUUUCGUUCGACUUCUUGUUCUGCAUCUUUUCCAAGAUUUUUUUAGAAGACAUCAUAACGGGAAAUUUUUUACAUUGUUCACAGGGCAUACUGCACUCUUUUCUAAGUUCUGAUAUCAUACCAAUGCAGCGUACAAAUUCGGCCGGACAAUUUUGUAUGGCGUCUUUCUGCCUCCUCACUGUCUAUUUGAAUUUAACAAAUUCGAGAGUUUUCAAACAAUUUCAUUAAGAUUUUCAUGGUUGUUGUAACAGGAAAGUGGACAACUUGGUGGUAUCGAAUGAUGGUGAAUUCCGUAUGGUUCGUAUGGAAUAUAACGGUGAUAAGAAUGAGAUGGACGAGACGAGGAUUUGUAAGAUUGUUUUGUGUUACACAUCAGCUACGAGUUGAAUGAUUCCAAAUUGUUUUUUAUCUUCUCUCUCUUUCUGAUUUUCUUUUAUACGUUUUAUAUUUUGCACGUGAAUAC
rnacentral:lncRNA from 1 species